GCUUACUUCAGUAUAUUUAACAUAUACUAAAAUUGGAACAACACAGAGAAGAUUGGAACAGGCCCUGCACAAGGAAGACAGGUAAAUUCAUGAAGCAUUCCACAUUUAA
ensembl:snRNA U6 U6 spliceosomal RNA